rnacentral:misc_RNA from 1 species
GCUGUUGCGAUACAAACAAAACAAACAAUUUUUAUUGCGAAAACAUCUAAAUUUUUGUUUUAUAAAAUGCUACUGGCACCAGCUGUCCAAUCUCUGCCCACCCUACACCAGCCGCUCCACUCGAAGGUAUCCAAUUACCUCAACAAUCAGCGACGCACGGGCCAGUUCUGUGAUUUGCUGCUGGAAUUGGAUUCGGACGAGGCGUUGAGCCUCAGCGUGCACUUUUGUGUCCUGGCCGCUCAGAGUAAGCUCAUUGGCACCAACCAAAAGCAGCAGCAGUUCUCCAUACACAAUCCGCUGAAGAUAACCAUUCGCAAUUUCGCCUGCACUCAAUGCCUGCACACAAUUGUGGACUUUUUUUACGAGGACAUUGUGUCCGUUUCCAAGGAGCAUGAGGAGCAUUUCCGGGAGCUGGCUAAGAUAUUGGCCGUGACGGAGCUCUUAAACUUGUACCAGAUGCAGCCCGUGGACGAGGUUAGAGACACAUGCGAGGCGACGACCUCCGGAGAGGCUGAGGUAAACCUGGAAACCACAAAGAAACCCGAAGAUCUAUUUGAGAAUCAACAGAGCUUCUUCAAGCUGAAGAAUCCCCGGGCAGUAAAAUCCAGCAGCAAGGUUAACUAUUGUAUUGGCUGUGACUUCAAAUGCUACCAAGUGCAGAAGAUGAUUGAGCACAUGAGCAGCUGUGAGCCCUCGCAUCUAACCUGUUCCCUGUGCGAGGUCGGCUUCCUGGACUGGCGAGAGCAUGACAAGCAUCUUCGCCGCCACUCUGGAGAUCUGCGCAAGCCCUUCUUUUGCCUAGAAUGCGGGAUUCACUUUACCACCAGAGCUGCUCUCCUGGUACACCAGCCCAAGCACUCUACGGAAACGCCGCACAUCUGUCCGCACUGUGGGAAGGGCUUCAAGUGGAAACAGGGCCUCAGUAAUCACAUUUUAGUCCACAAUCCGGAGAAGCAAAUGCUCUGCGAUGUGUGCGGCUAUAGCACCACCCAUAUGAAGGCACUCAAGUCGCACAAAUUGCUCCACACGGGCGAAUUCUUCGCCUGCACCGUGUCGGGCUGUAAGCAUCGGGCCAAUCGCAAGGAGAACUUGAAGCUGCACAUAGAGACGCAUAAGCAGGGACGGGACUUUAUUUGCGAAAUAUGCGGAUGCAAGUUUAGCCAGAGCAAGAACCUCAAGCGACAUGCUCUCAAGCACACGGAAAACGGGCUGAAUCGCUACAAAUGCCAGCUGUGUGGCUUUAGUAGUCAUCGAUCCGACAAGAUGAAAGAGCAUGUGCAGCGUGUGCACACCGAGAAGGCGGUGCAGCUGGAACUGUCCGAAUCAGUGGAUAGUUCAUUUGAGAACAAAAUGCCAGAUGAUUUCGACCUCCCCAUGAUCGAAGACACUCUGCCGCCGGGCAAAAAGAAGCAAAGAGAACCCAAAGGUUCCCGCAAGCAGACGGAAGAAAACACUUCAUCAAGCCAGAAGCGCCUGAAAACGCUGCUCCCCAAAGAAAGUUUCAAAUAGGAUAGCGCUUAAAUUGAAAAGUCAAACUGAUUGAUGAUAUUCUGUGAAAGGUUAUAUACUCUACAAUGUAGACUCAAUACUAUCAGGUGGAACUCCACGGCAUCUGCUACCUCAAGUGACUAAUGAACCAUAACCAGAGCAGUAGUUGACAGCACUAUCUUAUCAGACCGAAGGAGGGAUCCGUACGUAACCAGUGUUGUUCAUAAAAAACAAUUAGAGCAAAACCAAUUAAAAGCUUUAUAUCAAAAUAAACAAAAAUGGAUUGGAGUGAGAGAGAACUGGGUCAGCGGAUCGGGUUCUGACAAGCCCACUUCUAUAUGUAGAUAUGUGCGUACGAUCACGUUUCCCGAUCAAAGUCAAAAAUAGUAUUUGAAAUGUAACGGAACGUUUCCGACGAUGAUGCAAUUUGAAUGCACCCUCGGGGUCACAUGAGGGCGGACCAAGGUGGGUGGCAAGCGAAAAGUUUAUAUAACAACCGCUUGCUCGGCCCUACCUGCCCCUCCAGCUGUUUGAAAACGUGUAUAUUAUGAGAAUAUUCUAAAAUAAUUUAAAUAAAUGGACAAGGCAAAAAAAAUA